rnacentral:rRNA from 1 species
AAUGAACGCUGGCGGCAGGCUUAACACAUGCAAGUCGAGCGAGAACGGCACUUCGGUGCUUAUUAGAGCGGCAAACGGGUGAGUAACACGUGGGAACAUACCUUUCAGUCUGGAAUAGCCAUUGGAAACGAUGAUUAAUGCCGGAUACGGACUACGGUCGAAAGAUUUAUCGCUGAAAGAUUGGCCCGCGCUAGAUUAGCUAGUUGGUAAGGUAACGGCUUACCAAGGCUACGAUCUAUAGCUGGUUUGAGAGGAUGAUCAGCCACACUGGGACUGAGAUACGGCCCAGACUCCUACGGGAGGCAGCAGUGAGGAAUAUUGCACAAUGGAGGAAACUCUGAUGCAGCCAUGCCGCGUGUAUGAUGAAGGCCCUAGGGUUGUAAAGUACUUUUAGUGGGGAAGAUAAUGACGGUACCCACAGAAAAAGCCCCGGCUAACUUCG